UACGGAGGAUGCGAGCGUUAUCCGGAUUUAUUGGGUUUAAAGGGUGCGCAGGCGGCACGGCAAGCCGGCGGUCAAAUCGCGGGGCUCAACCCCGCCCAGCCGUCGGAACUGCCGGGCUAGAGUGGGCGAGAAGUGCGCGGAAUGCGUGGUGUAGCGGUGAAAUGCAUAGAUAUCACGCAGAACUCCGAUUGCGAAGGCAGCGCACCGGCGCCCUACUGACGCUCAGGCACGGAAGCGUGGGUAUCGGACAGG
rnacentral:rRNA from 1 species